CGUCUCAGCUACAGUAACAACAAUAGUAUAGUCGACUCGGCCCCCGCACGCUUGUUGGCGGUUUAUUACCGUAAUGCCAGUAUAAACAAAAUUAGGGGCGGCUGGCUAGGUGCAUAGGCUGAGGAAGAAGAUAUGUAUGGAUCAGACUACAAGACAAAUCGUCUUUCACGAUGGGACUAUGUGGCAGACUACUGCCAUAAAAUCCUAAAAUCGUAUCUCGGUCUGCCACUGGGAACACCGUAUCCUGUCCUUUACGGUCACUGGGCUUUAUCUUCUAAAAUCAAACACUCUCAGGGAGAAGGGACCAGAAAACGUGUCACCGGUCAUCGCAUUCAGAUAUACCCGUUACCAUGGCGGCAACAACAACAAUGGAAGGCGGCAAUGUGUGUUGGAAGAAAAAGAACAAAAAUAGGGGGGUAACGUGUGGUGUCGUCACUGGGUGCUGUCCGUUCAAGGAGCGCUUAAGGUAUAUGUUCAUGUACUUUUAAUAUGGCUCGCAAGCAGGCAACAUAACUUUAAGUAGCCAGCUAAUGCUAGCACUAACAUUUGCACGUAAACAUGCCAGCGUUGCGUCAAAUCAUGCUCUUAAGCUUCAGUAUAAUUUUGGUUUGUGCAUGUGAAUACAUUUUGACAAUGGGGCGCAAGGGAUGCAAUGCGUCAGUGACAAUACGCAAUCGUAUUUGGUCGACGUCAACGUGCGGUGUCGGAGAGCUGUUCAUAUGUCCCACUUCACAGAGGAUUCCCCCAAAAAGCAAACAUGCUAGACGUUUCAUUUUGGCAUCGUAGGGUUAUCGUAGGGCCAAAUCGUUGGUCAUGGAUUACCACAAUUUCUCGUGUAUAAUGCGCACCCAUGUAUAAUACGCACCCCCAAAGUUGACCUCAAAAUUCUGGAAAACCUUUCUACCUAUGUAUAAUGCAUUUUUACAAUGCAUGAUUUUCCUUCUACCCAUAUGAUCAAAACAUGAAGUAUUUAUCUGUGUUUUGUUAGUGUUUUCAAAUAAUUAUUCUGAACGUAAGCACUUUAUUGGAACACCUAAUACUUUAUUUUUAUUUACUUGCUCUUAUUUUGAAAUUCACUGCCCUACUUUUUUUUAGUAAAUGAGAAAACACACUGUUGUGCUAAUAUGUUUGAUUACCCAGGUAGAAUUUGUAACAUGGGUACAAUUCUUUAAAGAAAACCCGGAGGGCCAGACACAUUUUAUUUUAUUUUAAUAGCUUUCAACUUAAACUGUCAAGCUUUUCCAAAAAGCAUUAUCAUCAAACAAAACAUAACCAUGAAGAAAUUAAUGAUGGUUGUUGUUCAGUCAUCAGUCGUAUUUAAAAAUAUAUGUAUAUAUUUCACAAAUUCUGCCAGGGUAUGUAAACUUAUGAGCACAACUGUACAUUUUAUGCAGUCAUACAUAUCCCUGUCAUAUUGGAAUGAAAGUGUAGGCUACACCUUUUUUCUAGGUGGUGGUGGUAGAUUAGAGUGAAAGUGUACACCUUUCUAAUAUCCUCUAGGUGGCGGUAAUAUAUUGGAAUGAAAGUGUACUGCUUUUUCAUAACCUCUAGAUGGCGGCAUACAUUUAUAAAAUGGGAAUGUUUUUUUUCAUUUUCCCCUAUACCUAUGUAUAAUGCUCACCACUGACUUUUGACGUGUUUUUUUUUGGGGGGGGGGGGAAUUAUACAUGAGAAAUUACGGUAUGUCACACUACAAGACGUUUUGUCGGGCCCGAUCCAAGAAAUCGGCUGCGAUAGCAAGUCGGACUAAAAUCCACUUAGCAAUCAUGUGCAAGCACCAGCAAGUGGGGUGUGAUUUGCUGUAGCUAUAAACUGUUUUUGAUACUUACUGUACAGUCCUGCAACUCACUGACUUGAGCCAACGUUUAAGCUGAAAUGCCCCUUUGUCCUUUUAUCUUCGUUGACGUCACAACCGCCAACCAAUAAGCCACUACCCCCGCACCCCCCUUAGCGGACCACACUCAGAGUUAUAUUACGAUACGUACUUUAUCCUCAUGGGGGCAUGAAAUUACCUGUGGGAUCCUAACACAACAUUGUCACAUUUUGUAACUGCAUAUAUGCAUUUGGCUCGUUCCAUGUAAUAUCUGACUUUGUAGCACAGUCUGUAAUAAGGUCAUGUACUGUAUCUCGGACAUUUUAUGACGGAUUACACGACAAAUGAUGAAGAUAUUUGUAGGCAGCAUCACAUAUUGUGCAGUUGAUAUCAAAUAUAUACGCCCCUGUUCGAGUGUCUUUUUUGUGAUGUAAAAUAAUGACACCAUGAUAAGUUAUUUCAAAGCUUUUUUUCACCAUUAAUGUGACCUAUAACCUGCACAUCUCAAUUGAAUUUGAAAAAAACAAAAACCAUUUUGAGAGUGGAAGUAAACAUAAACAACCCAGAUAAUGUGGUUGCACAAGGGUGCACACCCUCUUCUAACAGGAAUGCGGCUGUGUUCAGAAUUAACCAAUCACAUUCAAACUCAUGUUAAAUCGGCAUCAUCAUACACUUUGCAUUUAAAGGGAGUUUGCAGUUUUAAAAGUGCUUGCAAGAUUUGAAUGUAGCCUCACUUAACUAGGGGCAGGUGUGGGUCAGUUGAUAGAGAGGUUUAUCCAACGACCGAAGGUUUGAAUCCCGGCUCCAACUGUCCGCUGUCGAGUGUCCUUCGGCAAGACACUGACCCGUUAAUUGCUCCCAACGGGCCUAGCGGCCAGCACCUUACAUGGCAGCAGCUGCCCAGUGCGCUUCUGGAAGAAUGGUCAAAAAUUCCCAUAACACACUCCUAAACCUUGCUGAAAGCCUUCCCAAGAAGAGUUGAAGCUGUUGUGGACCGACGACGUCAUGUUGAACCCUAUGGAUGAGCAAUGGGAUGUCACUUAGGUUCCUAUGUGAGUCAAGGCAGAACAAGAUGGCCCCAAAACGCGGAGACAUGGAGUCUACACAUGUUGAUGGCAGGAUCAGGAUCUGGAGGGAUGACGCCGAUUUGCCACGAGAGGGUGCUGUUGGAGGGACACGUCAUUCGCGUGCAAGCGUUUGAUUUCCUGCUUCUUGAGCUUCACGACCGGAGCGCCAACUUCAGUUUGAUUGGUCGCUCGGGCAUCAGCAGGCCCCGGCCCUGCACGUCCAUCUCGAUGGGCACCUGGUGGGCA